UUUUUUUUUUUUUUUUUGGUCUUUUUGCUAUUUCUUUGGGCCGCUCCCACAGCAUAUGGAGGUUCCCAGGCUAGGGGUCAAAUCGGAGCUGUAGCCCCCGGCCUACGCCAGAGCCACAGCAAUGCAGGAUCCGAGCCGCGUCUGCGACCUACACCACAGCUCAUGGCAACGUAGGAUCGUUAACCCACUGAGCAAGGGCAGGGACGGAACCCGCAACCUCAUGGUUCCUAGUCGGAUUCGUUAACCACUGAGCCACGACGGGAACUCCCAAGUCUUCUUAAUUUUUCUUUUUUGGAAAGAAGACCAGUUCAUUCUCAACUCUGUUGCCCCAUCAGUUUUCAUGAAGCAGGAGCCCUCAGAUCACAUCACUUUUAUUCCAACAAAACUUGAAUAUUCUAUACUAAUUACCAAGCAAUUCCUAACCUAUAUUCAUGACAACCUGAUAGCACCCACCUAUCCUUUUUUUGAGACAUAAAUAACUUUCUAUUUUUUUAAACAAUAUUUCUGGACAUGUCCUUUUUUUAACUAGGAAGCAAAUUCUUAGGGAUGGGGUCCAUAUUUAUUUAUUUAUUUAUUUAUUUAUUUUUGCUAUUUCUUGGGCUGCUCCCACGGCAUAUGGAGAUUCCCAGGCUAGGGGGUCUAAUCGGAGCCGUAGCCACCAGCCUACACCAGAGCCACAGCAACACAGGAUCCGAGCCGCGUCUGCAACCUACACCACAGCUCACGGCAACGCCGGAUCGUCAACCCACUGAGCAAGGGCAGGGACCGAACCCGAAACCUCAUGGUUCCUAGUCGGAUUCCUUAAUCACUGCACCACGACGGGAACUCCGAGAUGGGGUCCAUAUUUAAAUAACAAUUCUCAACCUAUAGAAUUUACUACAAUAGAAUCAUUAAUUCAUUAUUCAGCCAUCCUUAAUACUGGGAAUAUAGAGAUGAUCCAUUAGGGUCUCAUGGAAUUUAUAGUCUCCUAAGGGAAUCAGAAAUUAAAUAAGUAAAGAAAUAAUUACAAAAUUAGAAAAUAUAGUCCAUGAAAAGAGCUAAUAGCUAUGUAAGACAACAAUGGGUGGGGAAGAUCUAUUAUAUUGUCCCUUGGGUGCUCAAGAAAGAAUUCUCAGAGAAAGUGUCAACUUAAAGCUGAGAGUUGAAGGACAGAAGAAUCUGCUAGAUGAAGAAUUUGGGUUGGGGAUGGAAGCAUGAGAAGGAGAGACAGCUCCAGAGAGAAACAGCAUAGGCAAAGCAUUGAGGCAAGGACAAACUUUGUGUAGUCAGGAAAUAAAGGGAUUCUAGAGUGGCUAGAGAGAAGGGAGCAAAGGAGGAAAGUGACUGGAGGUGAGGUCAGAGAAGUAGCCAGAGUAGGGAAUUUGAAUUUUAUUCUGAAUACCCUGGAAAAGCACAUAGUAGAUAUAC
rnacentral:lncRNA from 1 species